CCUACGGGUGGCAGCAGUGGGGAAUAUUGCGCAAUGGGCGAAAGCCUGACGCAGCGACGCCGCGUGAGGGAUGAAGGUCUUCGGAUCGUAAACCUCUGUCAGCAGGGAAGAACGGUCACUGUGCUAAUCAGCAGUGAAUUGACGGUACCUGCAAUGGAAGCACCGGCUAACUCCGUGCCAGCAGCCGCGGUAAUACGGAGGGUGCGAGCGUUAAUCGGAAUUAAUGGGCGUAAAGCGCUCGUAGGCGGUAUGUCAAGUCAGGGGUGAAAGCCCAGCGCUCAACGGGGGAACUGCCGUGGAAACUGGCAAACUGGAGUGUGUGAGAGGAUAGUGGAAUUCCAGGUGUAGGAGUGAAAUCCGUAGCUAUCUGGAGGAACAUCAGUGGCGAAGGCGACUAUCUGGCACAUAACUGACGCUGAGGAGCGAAAGCGUGGGUAGCAAACAGGAUUAGAUACCCUUGUAGUC
rnacentral:rRNA from 1 species